UCAUCGGCCGCCGCACUUUCGCGACUGAGACGAAACGACACUCACCUUUACUUAAUGGAAGGCUUCGCUUACAUCCUGAACUUAAAGGAACUACAGAAAGGGACAGAAACUGCUUUCUUUUUAAACAAUGCGCUGAAAGGUUACUAGUGACAGGAGGCUUAGUGAAGCGCGUGAUGUGAACGGCCACGCUGCAAGGCUGGAGAGAAAAGAGGAGGGAGUGAAGUUGCACCCUGAUCGCGAAUCCUCGGCCUUUUAUCAGGGGCGCCGCCACUCGGGGUCCGACCAUUCGCCUCCAACGAGAGGACAGCGAAUCUGCUGUCGUGUGCAGUCCGCAGCAACCACAGGUAUAUGAAAUAAUGUCACUACAUCGGAGUAGCGCCUCUGCUUGCACACCUAUGGGAGUCUGCAGCUGUGACACGUAGAAGUUGGCCACAUCCAGGUCGGUGGCUCCAAAGUGGGCGGCCACACGCACACCCUCGUGCAACGUGAAGCUCACCUGAUGACCCACCAUGGCCAGCAGGCUGCGGAGGUAACGCUCCCGAAGGGCGGCUCGUGCCCGCUGCUCCUGGGAUUCCAGGGAUUCUUGAGCUAUGGGACACUCCUGGAUUUCAGGAACCUCUGGCCUCAAGGGGGCUCUGCGUCCGUCAGGGGCAAAGCCACGGCAGAAGCCAUCAGGGCCCCGGGGCAGCCGGAGCACAGGCACGGGAAUGUUCACUGGAGUUUGCAUUGUCUUGGCUGUUGAGUGAAGAAAAAAAGCAGGAAGUCAUUACAUGGUAAGCAUGGGGCUAAUGGAGGAGGCAGGAGUGGAAGCAGAGGCUGGUCUACCAGGCAGCUCCACUUCACCUGUCCCAGACCGAUCCACCCUCCUCAAAUCUGUGCCAUCGUCCCCCAGUGGCUUGGAUCAGAAACAAAAGUGUCACAUCCACAAAAACAUGAGCCCCAUGAAGGCAAGGACCUUUGUCUGCUUUUAUAAUGGCUUUAUCUCAACUUAUAGGCAAUAAAUAUUUGCCAAAAGAUGAACCUGGCCAGGCAUGGUGG
rnacentral:lncRNA from 1 species